rnacentral:rRNA from 1 species
UACGGGGGGGGCAAGCGUUGUUCGGAAUUACUGGGCGUAAAGGGCGCGUAGGCGGCCUGCUAAGUCGGACGUGAAAUCCCUCGGCUCAACCGGGGAACUGCGUCCGAUACUGGCGAGGCUUGAAUCCGGGAGAGGGAUGUGGAAUUCCAGGUGUAGCGGUGAAAUGCGUAGAUAUCUGGAGGAACACCGGUGGCGAAGGCGGGUCUCUGGGCCGAUACUGACGCUGAGGAGCGAAAGCGUGGGGAGCGAACAGG